rfam:Streptomyces albireticuli strain MDJK11, complete genome.
CUUCACCGAGCCCAGGAGCAGCGGACGGUCCUCGGGGCGGUCCUGACCGUAGGUGGCCAGCAGGGCCUGGGCCUC